AUUGAACGCUGGCGGCAGGCCUAACACAUGCCAGUCGAGCGGAUGAAGGGAGCUUGCUCCUGGAUUCAGCGGCGGACGGGUGAGUAAUGCCUAGGAAUCUGCCUGGGAGUGGGGGAUAACGUCCGGAAACGGGCGCUAAUACCGCAUACGUCCUGAGGGAGAAAGUGGGGGAUCUUCGGACCUCACGCUAUCAGAUGCGCCUAGGUCGGAUUAGCUAGUUGGUGGGGUAAAGGCCUACCAAGGCGACGAUCCGUAACUGGUCUGAGAGGAUGAUCAGUCACACUGGAACUGAGACACGGUCCAGACUCCUACGGGAGGCAGCAGUGGGGAAUAUUGGACAAUGGGCGAAAGCCUGAUCCAGCCAUGCCGCGUGUGUGAAGAAGGUCUUCGGAUUGUAAAGCACUUUAAGUUGGGAGGAAGGGCAGUAAGUUAAUACCUUGCUGUUUUGACGUUACCAACAGAAUAAGCACCGGCUAACUUCGUG
rnacentral:rRNA from 1 species